GACCGCAAGGGAAGAGCGCUUUUAUUAGUUCAAAACUGGUCGGGCCUCGGUCCGUUAACCCACCCGUGGUGAAUCUGAAUAACUUUUCGCUGAGCGCACGGUCUCCGCACUGGCGCCGCGUCUUUCAAGUGUCUGCCUUAUCAGCUUUCGAUUGUAGGUUAUGCGCCUACAAUGGCUAUUACAGGUAACGGGGAAUCAGGGUUCGAUUCCGGAGAGGGAGCCUGAGAAACGGCUACCACAUCUAAGGAAGGCAGCAGGCACGCAAAUUACCCACUCCCGGCUCGGGGAGGUAGUGACGAAAAAUAACGAUGCGAGACUCAUCCGAGGCCUCGCAAUCGGAAUGAGUACACUUUAAAUCCUUUAACGAGGAUCAAUUGGAGGGCAAGUCUGGUGCCAGCAGCCGCGGUAAUUCCAGCUCCAAUAGCGUAUAUUAAAGUUGUUGCGGUUAAAAAGCUCGUAGUUGGACAUGAGUUCCGGACCGACGGUUGCUGUUCACCGUCAGGUGUAUACUGUCACUCUCAGAACAGCUUGAUUUUUGCCCAGCCGGUGCGCACGGGGUGCUCUUCACCGAGUGUCCCGAGUGGCCGGCAAGUUUACUUUGAUAAAAUUAGAGUGCUCAGUGCAGGCUACAUUGAUUGCCAGAAUGUCUAUGCAUGGAAUAAAGGAACAGGACCUCGGUUCCAUUUUGUUGGUUUUCGGAACCUGAGGUAAUGACUAAUCGGAACGGCCGGGGGCAUCCGUAUUGCGGCGAUAGAGGUGAAAUUCUUGGACCGUCGCAAGACGAACAACUGCGAAAGCAUUUGCCAUGGAUGUUUUCAUUAAUCAAGAACGAAAGUUAGAGGUUCGAAGGCGAUCAGAUACCGCCCUAGUUCUAACCAUAAACGAUGCCAACUAGCGAUCCGCCGGNGUUAUUCCCAUGACCCGGCGGGCAGCUUCCGGGAAACCAAAGUUUUUGGGUUCCGGGGGAAGUAUGGUUGCAAAGCUGAAACUUAAAGGAAUUGACGGAAGGGCACCACCAGGAGUGGAGCCUGCGGCUUAAUUUGACUCAACACGGGGAACCUCACCAGGCCCAGACACUGGAAGGAUUGACAGAUUGAGAGCUCUUUCUCGAUUCGGUGGGUGGUGGUGCAUGGCCGUUCUUAGUUGGUGGAGCGAUUUGUCUGGUUAAUUCCGAUAACGAACGAGACUCUGGCCUGUUAACUAGUCGACGGAUCUCCAGCAAUUGGUGUCCAGUUCGCAACUUCUUCUUAGAGGGAUAAGCGGCAAUUGUAGCCGCACGAGAUUGAGCAAUAACAGGUCUGUGAUGCCCUUAGAUGUUCUGGGCCGCACGCGCGCUACACUGAAGUGAUCAGCGUGUUGUGCCCCCUCCGAGAGCAGCGGGUAACCCGUUCAAACCCCUUCAUGAUAGGGAUUGGGGCUUGCAAUUGUUUCCCGUGAACGAGGAAUUCCCAGUAAGUGCAAGUCAACAGCUUGCGCUGAUUACGUCCCUGCCCUUUGUACACACCGCCCGUCGCUACUACCGAUUGAAUGAUUUAGUGAGGCCUUCGGACUGGCGCUCUUGGACGAUGAUGAUGUAC
rnacentral:rRNA from 1 species